UCCCGGAAUCCCCAAGCCUACACCUGGGAUCAAGGCCCCGGCCCUGCCCCGAACCACCAACCCACACCCGGGACCAAGGCCCCGGCACCACGUUUCCCAGAGGCGCUGGGGUCGGGCCCACGUUGGAACGAGUCAGAUGCUCUUGGUAGCUCAGGGAGGCGUUCACACUCCUGUCAUUUCCUGGAGGAUGGUGACGACUCCGAACUAUAGCAGUAUGCUUUACCUACCCCGAUCAAUUUUAUGGAAGAAAAGGAAACCAAACAAAAUCUAGAUUUAUUACAAGAAGUUCAUGAUGGAGACAGCUCAGGAAUGGAAGAGACUCAAGCCCAAAGACCAGAAGAACCUCUGUCCUGGAAAUCAGUUCUGUUUCCAAUGGAGCAGCCUCUGCAAAGUGUACCACACGAUGAGUUAACAUAUCUCACUUUUAAAAAGAAGAAUACUGAUUUGCCACUGACAUGGUUUGGAUGUGCGUUCCCCCACACCCACCCACAGUCCCAUGCUGGGAAUGUCACUCAUAUUUAGCUCUGAAUCAAUGGGGAACCCAUGCAGGAAGAUCAUAAUAAACACGGAAAAUUCUGAUAA